GACGAACGCUGGCGGCGUGCCUAAUACAUGCAAGUAGAACGCUGAAGGAGGAGCUUGCUUCUCUGGAUGAGUUGCGAACGGGUGAGUAACGCGUAGGUAACCUGCCUGGUAGCGGGGGAUAACUAUUGGAAACGAUAGCUAAUACCGCAUAAGAGUAGAUGUCGCAUGACAUUUGCUUAAAAGGUGCAAUUGCAUCACUACCAGAUGGACCUGCGUUGUAUUAGCUAGUUGGUGAGGUAACGGCUCACCAAGGCAACGAUACAUAGCCGACCUGAGAGGGGGUUCGGCAAACCUGGACUGGGAACACGGCCCAGACUCCUCGGGAGGCAGCAGUAGGGAAUCUUCGGCAAUGGACGGAAGUCUGACCGAGCAACGCCGCGUGAGUGAAGAAGGUUUUCGGAUCGUAAAGCUCUGUUGUAAGAGAAGAACGAGUGUGAGAGUGGAAAGUUCACACUGUGACGGUAUCUUACCAGAAAGGGACGGCUAACUACGUG
rnacentral:rRNA from 1 species